rnacentral:sRNA from 1 species
GCCAGGCAUGGUGGCGCAUGCCUGUAAUCCUAGUGGCUCGGGAGGAUGAGACAGGAGGAUUCUGAGUUCAAAGCCAGCCUCAGCAAUUUAGCAAGACCCUGUCUCUA